UGGAGUCUUCGAGAGUGGUGCUAAGUUUCGCAGCAGAUUCCAGUAAGGAAGGAAUAUUAGAAACUUUAUAAAGAUAACUCCGUUCUUUAAGCAAAGUUACCAAAUGCAUAUAGGUUUUUGAAGAAUUGAAGAAUGAUGCAGCGAGCUCUGGUAGUAGUUGUUGUAUAUAUGUACUUUCAUAAAAUAUAGCGCUUAGGUGAGUCCAGAUCUGUUGAAUUUCUUUCCAAAUAUUCAAAAAUUUUACAAUAAUUUUCAUUUUUGAUUGAAGAUCUGUAAUAUUCAUAUCCCCAUCUUUGAAGUGCCUAGACGUUUUUAUUAAAUUAAGAGAAUCCAUGUUUUUUUCAACAGCAUCAAUUAACUCCUGACAGCCAACAACAAUAUAAUUUCUUCCUUUAAAACUUUUGAAAGAGAAAUAUGAAUUUUUCCAAAAACUAUGGACUUCAUUAAAUUGAUUCUCUAAAUUAGCCUCUACCACUGCCGAGUUUAGUAAAGUUGUGAUAAAACUUUCAUGAGCUUGCAAAUCAAUUCCCAAAAUAUCAGAAACUAGUAACUUCUCAAAAUCUAAUUGCUCGGUACUUUUAGUAAUUUCAAACAGGGAAAUCCAAUGAACGGGUUUAAGGGGACAGCUUUUGAGUUUUUGCAAUAACAAGGUACAAUCCUUUAGUUGAUUUAAAGAUUGUUUAGUAUUUGUAAACAAUUUAAAGUGUUGGAAACUGGUAUGAACGCUUUCUAGAGCAUUUAUUUGAUGUGUUGUCUGAACUGACAAAGUAGCUGUAUCAAAUAAUUUCCAUCUUGUAUUUUUUAUCUCGACUAUAAACUCCAAGU